rnacentral:lncRNA from 10 species
CACAGUCUGUCCGAGUGAUCUCAGCCCUUGGAUCAGCAGGCAGCAGCUGUACGUUGAUUGGAGUAAGAACCUCUUCGUCACCGCCCUGUUUAUCUCGCUGGUUCUGCAGCUGCUGCGUUUCGGAGCCUGUUGUGCUGGAGGGCAGGGCAGGAGGUCAGGUCGGGUGCUCGGUGUGUGAUUUUAUAGUGCUUGGUUAUUAAUGAGCAAAUUAGUACCGUGUCCUAGUAAAGUCGAUGACUAAACUCCUUGCAUAAAAGUGUCCGAUCUAUUUAGGAAAUACUGAAUAUACUGCAGUGACAUACACAAAGCCUUCAUGGAACCAGUAAAAGGGAGGAAUAAGCCAGACAAAGAUGGCAGGUAAAGAAGGGUGGGUGGGGCCGGGCCUCUCCUGCUGUGGACGAGUGGGUCGGGGGCUGGUGCAGGGUGCGUGAGGCGCACUUCCUCCCACCUCAGCUGCCUGUUGUGCAGGCAUUAGCAGUGAACUUUUAAGGAAAGCAGCAGUGAAGUCUUUAGCUAGGGGGGAGAAUUUUGUAAUCAGUUAUAGCUGAAAUUUUCUGUUUGUAUGUUCUGUGUUGAGUUUCCUUAGAAAAAGGUGCGUGGGUGCUGAAAGCAGUUAUUUGUUCUGAAAACAUUUAUUGAACACCGACUCUGGGCUCCAGGCCAGUUGACAGCAGAGUGACUGACGCAUUACAGAGCCUACCCACUUUCAAGUUCUACAAAUGUGUGUCAUUUAGAAGGUACUGCCGUGUCCUGGAUUAAUCUCAGUACAUUUAUGCCCGGGACGCAGCCUCCUCCACCGUGGCUAGCAAGCGUCCUCUCCUCUUUGGCAUUCAUGGAUGAGCUGUGAGAAGCUCUUUGCCAGCUCAUUUGACUUGAACCUGAGGAGGAACUGUGUACACUUAACAACAUUUCUAACUCUGUGAUAAAUUCGCCAAAUUAUAGUAUGUGCCUUCCUCCACAUAGAAUGCAUUAGAAAUGUGUUUUGCCUACGUGGAAUGGCUCUUAACAGGUCAGUCUGAAGAUAAAGCCCAGCUUCCUCCCGCCUCUCCUGUCUCUAGAGGAUCUGCUGAGUGUGCAGAUGGGGUGCAUAGAGAUGGGAGAGGAGAGGUGGCCUCCAGGUGGCCUCCAGGUAGCCUCCACCCACUAACUGGGGACGCCCCUCGAACCUGGAUGGAACAAAAACAGGUAUCAACACACAUUUGUUACAUGGAAAACUGCUGAAGGCAAACUCCGACUCCGGCCUUCAAACCUUAGAGAAUCAAGGUCUUGAGCAAUCUAGAGUGACCCCAGCACCUUGACGGAAGGAAGCACCCUCAUCUUCACCUUUGUGAGGUACGUCGCUGCCCCGGUGAGUAACUGCAUCUCAGACCGUUUAGUCUCCUUCUCCAACUAUGUCGACUCCAUGCAACUCCUAAGCCUCCGCCUUUUCUGAAUACUCCUUGGCUCUUGCUCCUUCUGCGGUCAGCUAAGUGUGGGAAGAUGGGACACCCUUGAGUGUUUCUGAGCCGUGGGUUCUGUCCUCUCACUAUCCAUUUUCUGUAUACAUCUGCAUGGCCGGCGUUUCUGCUGCUUUCUGUGUGAUUCUCAGGUCAGCAUCUCUGUCCCCACUAGUCUCAAGCUUUAGUCCUGCGUCUCCAGCCGACCGUCCAGAGGGCCUAUCACAUUCAGUGGGUCUAAGAGGAACCCAUCCUCUCCAGGUUGCCUCCUGCCCCCCGUUAUUAUUAUGGGCACCCCACGCUCUCGUUCAGUCUCACCCCAACAUCAAGAGGCGUUAUCAGCAGUCCAACCUAAUCAAGUGUCUGCCACCACUGUACACUAGGUAGGUCCUCACCUUCAGGAAGCUCCCAGCUCGACACCCCACUGUCUGACUCCUAUCUGGACAGUGCUGCCCUGCACCUCCCAUCGUUCCCUCGGUAAUGCCGCUCCCCCGGACCUGCACUCCCGGCUCUGCCUCCUGCCUGCAGUCCCGCCCCUAGUGCAUAUCUGUGGCUCCGACCAGGCUUCCCUUCUCCACCCACUGGCUUCAAGACCCGCCACAGGUGUCAUCCACUUCUCCAGCCUGUCCUGAUCCGGCCCCCAGAAGCAAUCUCUCCAUUUUCUGAAUUUUCGUAGCAUUCUCUGUGCUCAUCAAAGUCUACUUGUGUUUUGGGGUAUGUCACUUUCCCCAUUCAACCCUAGGACCUCUGAAGGGAACCUUCAUGUUUGUAUUCCUAUAGCACCAGGACAGUGCCAGGCACAAGGAAGGUACAGCUUGCUCGCUCGCUCGCUCUCUCUCUCUCUCUCUAUCUCUAUCCCCCUCUUUCUCUCUCUCCUCUUUUUAAAGUGGAGACAGGGUCUUGCUUUGUCACCCAGGAUGGAGUACAGUGGCACAAUGAAAGCUCACUGCAGCCUUGACCUCCUGGGCUGAAGUGAUCCUCCUGCCUCAGACUCCUGAGUAGCUAGGACUGCAGGUCCAUAUCACCAUGCUCAGCUAACAGGAUUCUUAAAUGAAUACAAAUGAGCAGACCACACCCAGGCAAGAACCCGUGUUCUGAAGGCCUCAGGUAUAUCCCAGGACGAAGGUGUCUGAACAGGGAUGCUCUCCUGUGGCUAUACCCCACCCCCUGCACUUGUGGUUCCCUUGACUCCCUGCACUGCAUUCAGUAGAUGAGACCUCAUCACCCACCUAGCUUGAAAGCUUGAUUCUGAAUUCGUCUGCAUGUCUCCCUAGGUCUUCCUUGUAACUGUCCCCUGGCCACUGGGAUCUCAGCGGACUCAUUCCCAGGGCCUUGUUUUCAAGUCUUCCUUGACCAAAGGGUGGUUGUAGGAUUAAAUGAACUGUGGCUCAGCAAAAUACCUGACAGCAGGCGUGCAAUGCAUUUUUCUUCUCUCCCUCCACACGUACAAGAGGAGAAAAUGAAAAGGAAGUGCUGCGGAGGAUUUUUAGGGCAAGGAAAUUAUGAUCCUAGAAUGCUGGACACAUGGCGUCGUAUAUCUGUCCAAACCCAUAGAAUGUGCAUGUGAACCGUAACAUAACUGUGGCUGUGGGGAUGAUAAUGUGGCGAUGUAGCUUGAUCCAUUGUCACAAAUGUACCACUCUGGUGGGGGGUGUUGGUAGUGGAGGAGGCUGUGCCUGAGUGUAGGAGAGGUGGUACAUGGGCAUUCUCUGUACCUUUUAAUUUUGCUGUGAACCUAAAGUGGUUCUAAGAAAAUAAAGUCAAUGCUGGACACGUUGGCUCAUAUCUGUAAUCCCAGCUGUAUUCAUUUUCAUGCUGCUGAUGAACACAUAUCCGAGACUGGGAAAUUUACUAGAGAAAUUUAAUUGGACUUAGAGUUCCAUGUGGUUGGGGAAGCCUCACAAUCAUGGUGGAAGACAAGGAGGAGCAAGUCCUGUCUGACAUGGAUGGCAGCAGGCAAAA